rnacentral:rRNA from 1 species
UGGGGAAUAUUGGACAAUGGGCGCAAGCCUGAUCCAGCCAUGCCGCGUGAGUGAUGAAGGCCUUAGGGUUGUAAAGCUCUUUCACCGGAGAAGAUAAUGACGGUAUCCGGAGAAGAAGCCCCGGCUAACUUCGUGCCAGCAGCCGCGGUAAUACGAAGGGGGCUAGCGUUGUUCGGAAUUACUGGGCGUAAAGCGCACGUAGGCGGACUUUUAAGUCAGGGGUGAAAUCCCGGGGCUCAACCCCGGAACUGCCUUUGAUACUGGAGAUCUUGAGUUCGGAAGAGGUUGGUGGAACAGCUAGUGUAGAGGUGAAAUUCGUAGAUAUUAGCUAGAACACCAGUGGCGAAGGCGGCUACCUGGACCAGCACUGACACUGAGUCACGAAAGCGUGGGGAGCAAACA